rnacentral:rRNA from 1 species
UGUAUUUAUUCUUGUUUAUCUCAGUUUAAAGAGUUUAAUUUGAAAAAUAAUUUAUUAUUUAAGUAAUUUUUAGUAAAAUAAUAAAAUAACUAUAGUUCAUUAGUACAGUGAUGGAAAUGUAAAUUAAUACAAGUAAAGAAUUUUUAUAUUACUAUACCUUGUGUAUUAGGGAAACUCUAUAUAAAUUAAUGAUUUUAAAUGUCUCGAAAUAAAAACAGCUAAAUUUAUACUAUUGUGCUUGUCGAAUAAAGCUUUCAAAUAUAAAUUUAAAGGUGAAAUGUUAUUAGAGUUUUAUUAUAUCUGGUUUUUUUAGAAUAAAAUUUAAUUUUGAUUUUAAAUAUAAUAGAUUUAAAUUUUAACUGUAGGAGGGAGUAGCUUCUUACAGAUCCUUUUUAAUAGUUACAUAAAAAUAAAUUUUUUGAGACUAGGCUUAAAAGUAGCCAUGUUAAAAAAGUGUUAUUACUUAUUAAUAAUAAAUUUUUAUUUAAGAUAACUUUAAACAAGUACAAAACUUUUUUGUAAAAUAAAAUUAUAAAAGUGAUAAUGAAUUUAUUAGUAUAAUUAAUGUAAGCUAACUAAAAUAUAAUAACUAAGACGUUAAAAUAUUUAGUGUAAAAUAUAAAGGAACUCGGCAAAUAAUUUUCUUGCCUGUUUAUCAAAAACAUGUCUAUUUGAAGAUAUAAAAAGUCUAAUCUGCCCACUGAAAUUAAUAUUAAAGGGCCGCAGUAUAUUGACUGUGCAAAGGUAGCAUAAUCGUUUGGUUUUUAA